rnacentral:rRNA from 1 species
GAUGAACGCUAGCGGCAGGCUUAACACAUGCAAGUCGAGGGGUAUAAUUAGCUUGCUAAUUAGAGACCGGCGCACGGGUGCGUAACGCGUAUGCAACCUACCUUUCACAGGGGGAUAGCCCAGAGAAAUUUGGAUUAAUACCCCAUGGUAUAAUUGGAUGGCAUCAUUUGAUUAUUAAAGUUCCAACGGUGAAAGAUGGGCAUGCGUCCCAUUAGCUAGAUGGUAAGGUAACGGCUUACCAUGGCAACGAUGGGUAGGGGUCCUGAGAGGGAGAUCCCCCACACUGGUACUGAGACACGGACCAGACUCCUACGGGAGGCAGCAGUGAGGAAUAUUGGACAAUGGGCGCAAGCCUGAUCCAGCCAUGCCGCGUGCAGGAUGAAGCAUCUAUGGUGUGUAACUGUCUUUUGUACGAGAAGAAACAGCUCUUCGUGAAGAGCCUUGACGGUAUCGUAAGAAUAAGGAUCGGCUAACUCCGUGCC